ACAGUGGUAGUUCAAUGGUUAAGACAUUGGCCUAUUUAGCUGAAGGUUGUGAGUUCAAACCCUGUCGCUGUU